UACAGAGGUCCCAAGCGUUGUUCGGAUUCAUUGGGCGUAAAGGGUGCGUAGGCGGUUUUGUAAGUCUGAUGUGAAAUCCCCGGGCUCAACCUGGGAAUUGCAUUGGAGACUGCAAGGCUAGAAUCUGGCAGAGGGGGGGUAGAAUUCCACGUGUAGCAGUGAAAUGCGUAGAGAUCAUGAGGAAGACCAGUGGCGAAGGCGGGUCUCUGGACAGUUCCUGACACUGAGGCACGAAGGCCAGGGGAGCAAACGGG
rnacentral:rRNA from 1 species